rnacentral:lncRNA from 1 species
CAGCACAAAUCAAAGUAUAUACAUACAACCAAUUCAACCACAACCAAGUCAUCCACACAUCAAUUACAUGCUAUUUCCUAUCUCAUACAACAUCUCAUACUUAUCAUCUUAAACAAUGCAAAAUCCACGGUCAUGAACGACAUCUUCAUAUUCAUAUAUACUUAACCAAUAUUAGCCAAUUUCAAUGGCCAUUUACAAAAUGAAUCAUCAACCAUUAUAAGCCAACACAUUUGGCCAAAUCG